GAUGAAGAACGCAGCGAAAUGCAAUACGUAAUGUGAAUUGCAGAAUUCAGUGAAUCAUCGAGUCUUUGAACGCACAUUGCGCCCCCUGGUAUUCCGGGGGGCAUGCCUGUCCGAGCGUCAUUGCUGCCCUCAAGCACGGCUUGUGUGUUGGGCCUCCGUCCUCCUCCCGGGGGACGGGCCCGAAAGGCAGCGGCGGCACCGCGUCCGGUCCUCGAGCGUAUGGGGCUUCGUCACCCGCUCUUGUAGGCCCGGCCGGCGCUUGCCGACACAUCAAUCUUUUUUCCAGGUUGACCUCGGAUCAGGUAGGGAUACCCGCUGAACUUAAGCAUAUCAAUAAGCGGAGGA
rnacentral:misc_RNA from 1 species